rnacentral:tRNA from 1 species
GGCCGCGUGGCGCAAUGGUAGCGCGUUAGUUUCCGGAGCUAGAGGCUGUGGGUUCGAGUCCCACCGUGGUCG